rnacentral:rRNA from 1 species
UAUUGGCCAGAGACCGAUAGCGCACAAGUAGAGUGAUCGAAAGAUGAAAAGCACUUUGGAAAGAGAGUCAAACAGUACGUGAAAUUGUUGAAAGGGAAGCGCUUGCAACCAGACUUGCCCGCGGGUGAUCAGCCGGUAUUCUUACCGGUGCACUCGCCCGUGGUCAGGCCAGCAUCGGUUUGGGCGGCUGGAUAAAGUCCACCGGAACGUAGCUCCCCUCGGGGAGUGUUAUAGCCGGAGGUGCAAUGCAGCCCGCCCGGACCGAGGACCGCGCUUCGGCUAGGAUGCUGGCGUAAUGGUUGUAAGCGACCCGUCUUGAAACACGGACCAAGGAGUCUAACAUCUAUGCGAGUGUUUGGGUGUCAAACCCAUGCGCGUAAUGAAAGUGAACGGAGGUGGGAACCCUCAAGGGUGCACCAUCGACCGAUCCUGAUGUCUUCGGAUGGAUUUGAGUAAGAGCAUAGCUGUUGGGACCCGAAAGAUGGUGAACUAUGCCUGAAUAGGGUGAAGCCAGAGGAAACUCUGGUGGAGGCUCGCAGCGGUUCUGACGUGCAAAUCGAUCGUCAAAUUUGGGUAUAGGGGCGAAAGACUAAUCGAACCAUCUGUUACUAGAUGGGACACGGGCCCGUGUGCCCCAGUAGUCCUCGCGUGGCGGGGGCGACAUCGCCGGUCUCUUCGGGAACGCCUCUGGGCUACCCGCAGUGAGCCUCGGGCUCAUUCACAGACUAAGUGGCGGUGGCCGUGGCCUGGAGCACGGUUAGGAUAUAGCCGAUCCACCCUGAAAGGGC